CGCCAGAGCUGAACGCAGUGGCCCCUCCCCAGCGCCCCGGGUUUCCCCAGGUCGGGGUUCGCGGGCGGGGGUGAGGCGUGGCCCCGACUGCCGGGCCGCGAUAAGCGCCCUGCGACCCGGCUGAAAGCGCACACGUGUCCUGCCGCGCUGAGCCGCCAGCAGGACUGGUACCACCGCCCUCCCUCGGGGCUAGGGUCACCCUGCCGUGACACGCAGGGACAAGCCAAACACUCCCGCCUCCGGGAUCGAACGGAAUGAACCAGAGUGAUUAACUACGAGAAUCACCAGGCGCUCAUUGGGCUGAUCAGUACCUCGUCUGACCUAGCUGGGUUUGGUCGCCGUCACUGGCCGGAGCGCCGAAGCACCGGGGACGCUGACGCACAGGGAAUAAGACAUGGACACCUUUGAGAGGCCAUUUUUCUGCUCACCACAAGGCCCCAAGGAAAUGGAAGAGGAUGCUAAUGGAGGGACCCACUGGCACCCACUGAGUUGGUAUGAAGAGUAUUUUAAACUGAAACAUUUAAGACACAGCAGAUACAGAAAGAAGCCUUUCUGGAGCUUCCCUUAUUUGACUAAAGCCAGAGCUUUCAGAGAGUGAAGCUGCCAUAAAUUCCCUCUUGGGGAGCUUCACUGCCAGUAAGGAGACUUUACUGCCAGGAAGGAGACCACUUGCACCUGAAUGACGAAUUGCAUAACCGAACAUAAUCACAAAUUGUCGUACCAUCAUUUGUUUCCCUAAAAGCCCAUUUGUCUUUCCACAAAAGUAUAUUUGCUUUCCCAUAGAACCCUUUCUCUCCUCCUCCCUUUUCCCAUAUUAUUGGCAUAUAAAUUCUCAUCCCUAACUGUACAGAGAGCCUCUUCACCUGAGUAAGUGUAAAUAAAC
rnacentral:lncRNA from 1 species